GAUGAACGCUGGCGGCGUGCCUAAUACAUGCAAGUCGAGCGAACGGACGAGAAGCUUGCUUUUCUGAUGUUAGCGGCGGACGGGUGAGUAACACGUGGAUAACCUACCUAUAAGACUGGGAUAACUUCGGGAAACAGGAGCUAAUACCGGAUCAUAUUUUGAACCGCAUGGUUCAAAAGUGAAAGACGGUCUUGCUGUCACUUAUAGAUGGAUCCGCGCUGCAUUAGCUAGUUGGUAAGGUAACGGCUUACCAAGGCAACGAUGCAUAGCCGACCUGAGAGGGUGAUCGGCCACACUGGAACUGAGACACGGUCCAGACUCCUACGGGAGGCAGCAGUAGGGAAUCUUCCGCAAUGGGCGAAAGCCUGACGCAGCAACGCCGCGUGAGUGAUGAAGGUCUUCGGAUCGUAAAACUCUGUUAUUAGGGAAGAACAUAUGUGUAAGUAACUGUGCACAUCUUGACGGUACCUAAUCAGAAAGCCACGGCUAACUACGUG
rnacentral:rRNA from 1 species